GACGAACGCUGGCGGCGUGCUUAAUACAUGCAAGUCGAACGGUGAACCUCUUCGGUGGGGUUCAGUGGCGUACGGGCGAGUAACACGUGGGCAACCUGCUCCCGGCUCUGGGAUAACUCCAAGAAAUUGGGGCUAAUACCGUAAGUCCACCGCUUCUCGCAAGGGGGGUGGUGGAAAGGGUGUCCGGCUGGGGAUGGGCCCGCGGCCUAUCAGCUUGUUGGUGGGGUAGUGGCCUACGAAGGCGACGACGGAUAGCCGGCCUGAGAGGGGAGCCGGCCACAAGAGUACUAAGAGACGGCCCAGACUCCAACGGGAGGCAGCGGUGGGGAAUAUGGCGCAAUGGGGGGAAGCCUGACGCAGCGACGCCGCGUGGGGGAUGACGGCUUUCGGGUUGUAAACCUCUUUCAGCAGAGACGAAGCGCAAGUGACGGUACCUACAGAAGAAGCACCGGCCAACUACGUG
rnacentral:rRNA from 1 species